rnacentral:rRNA from 1 species
GCCCGCUCAGAAACUUAAAGGAAUUGACGGGGGCCCGCACAAGCGGUGGAGUAUGUGGUUUAAUUCGAUGCAACGCGAAGAACCUUACCUGGUCUUGACAUCCCGGAGACCCUUAGGAAACUAGGGGGUGCUUCCAUCUGGAAGAAUCUGGAGACAGGUGCUGCAUGACUGUCGUCAGCUCGUGUCGUGAGAUGUUGGGUUAAGUCCCGCAACGAGCGCAACCCUUGCCUUUAGUUGCCAGCAGUUCGGCUGGGCACUCUAAAGGGACUGCCGGUGUUAAACCGGAGGAAGGUGGGGAUGACGUCAAGUCCUCAUGGCCUUUAUGACCAGGGCUACACACGUACUACAAUGGCCGAUACAAAGGGCAGCGACACUGCGAGGUGAAGCCAAUCCCGUAAAAUCGGUCUCAGUCCGGAUUGGAGUCUGCAACUCGACUCCAUGAAGUUGGAAUCGCUAGUAAUCGCGGAUCAGCAUGCCGCGGUGAAUACGUUCCCGGGCCUU